UGAAGCAUCUAAGAAAUUAGGAUUUGGAAGAAGCAAACUUGUUUGACCCGAAAUGUAUUCAUCACAACUUGUACAUAAGUGCUUUUUGCUAAAUAUCCUGAGAUCAUGUUGGGCCUUUUUGCUAACAUAGAUAAAAGAAAAUUAAUGAUACAUGUUGUGCCUUUUCUUUCCAAGUAGUCUCGGACCCGACCCCGAAACCCGUCGAACCCAGUUUUGGAAUCUUAAGCCCAAGACCGAUUGGGUAUACGAGUCGAGUUCAGGUCUAGUACAUUAAAAUGGGUCCGGGUCUGGAAUUUUCAAUUCCAACCUGAACCCGACCCAUUGACAGGCGUAUAAUCAUGAGAAGAUGGAACAUAACGCAAUCCAGGAUCAAUUUCUUUAUGCCUAGAAAAAAACAUCUUUAAACUAUUAAGCUACAGCCAACAUCAAGUAUGGUGCAUUCCAACACAUAGGAUAGUCUAAAAUCAGCAUCUCAGUAGGCAAUUGAAGUUGUUUUCUUAUCUUACUAAACUCAUUCAAUCUAGCUUCUGAAUUAUUCAAGUAUUUGAUCCUUUCUCUAACAACUUCAAUCACAUCACCUAUUUGACCAAGGCCAUCUUGCACCAACAAAUUUAGAACAUGCACACAACAAUGAACAUGAAAAAGCUUCCCCUCAAGUAGUAACUCUUUUCACUGCAAAAAAUCAUCUUUUAAUCUUCUAAUGCACACAUCAUUAUAAGCAACAUUAUCAACUGUAAUAGAAGCCACUUUAUUCUCAAUUCCCCAUUUAGUAAGUCACUUAUUAAAUGCAUCAGCUACAAGUACUCUAGCAUGUGUGGGGAUGGAUCAUUAACAAAAUUCAACACACAUUCCUACAGCAUCUAAUUUGAAUCAAUAAAGUGACCAGUGACAUUGUUUUUUCUGCCCAGAUUUCACAAGUCAGUUGUAAUACUUUAUCUACUAACACCAUUUAAUACUGUCUGCAAACUUUUUUUCUCAUUCUCAUAAGUUGUUAUGCAAUCUUUCUUGACAAUAUAACAACUGAUUUUUUGGUAAAAUGGGGAAUUAGCUUUCAAAAAUUUGUUGAAAAUGUCAUGUUACAUCAUCUCAAAAGGAUACUCACAAGCAAGCACCAUGUGAGACGCAAGUUAUCUUACCUUAGCAUGGUCAUAAGAGAAGUUAGAUAUGGAACUUAUACCUUCUCUCUUAAUUUCUGCAAAAGCGAGUAUUUGCUGCUUCUUUUUAUCAGGCUCCCCAUUGCAAUUUUUUUUUGCAAGCAAUAUUUCAAGCGGCACGUACCAAAGGUUUCCUUUGGAAUGCCUUGCUUUCAUUAUCAGCCUUCUUAUGUUCAUCAUAAGGUUUGGCUUCCGCAAGUUCGCCUUCAAUUUCUUGAUUCUAUCAGAGCUGUUGGGAAAUAAUUCAGGAAGAUUUGUUAUUGGCAGUUCAUGAUUUUUUUAAGGGAGCUCAGCAACCAUGGGAGUUCACCAGCACCUUGCUCAUUCUUAUUCUCAACGUUCAAGGAGCCUCGAGACGGCAAGAGUUUAGGCCUAUCAGUGUUGGGGAAACCGGGAAUUGGAUUUGGACAAUAACCAAUUGUGGUGAAUGGGGAUCAUGAGCGGUGAUUGGUGAGUGUUUCUUAUUUGUUAAAAUCUUUCCUCAAGUAUUUUAGUUAAAUGUGCCCCUUUGUUUAUUUAAAUGUAUUUGCCGUUACUAAAAGGAUUUGCUAAAUGGAUUUGUGAACUAUAUUCUCUUUAUAAGGUGUGUGUGUAUUUUAUCGCACUCACCUAAGGACAUGUGUUUGAUUUGAGCAAUUGGGAUUUAUUGUAUUAGUUGCCUUAUGUGAUUAAAUGUGAUUAAAUGAGACUUAGAUGGGGGUGUACCUUGUUGCACUUGAUCUAGGUCUCAAUAUUUCGAUAUUGGAUGUGUAAUAUGUGAUUGGAUGUAUAUAUGUAAUAAAUCUUGUUUUAUUACAUUUUUGGCUUGUUAAUUAUUGUAAGGUAUUCCUUAAUUUGGAUGGAUGAAUUUGUGUGUGUUUAAGUAUAGUAAGAGGAAAAAUUUCUGUUUUGAAUCUUUCA